rnacentral:rRNA from 1 species
UACGUAGGGUGCAAGCGUUGUCCGGAAUUAUUGGGCGUAAAGAGCUCGUAGGUGGCCUGUCGCGUCGGCUGUGAAAACUCGGGGCUUAACCCCGAGCCUGCAGUGGAUACGGGCAGACUAGAGGUAGGUAGGGGAGAAUGGAAUUCCCGGUGUAGCGGUGAAAUGCGCAGAUAUCGGGAGGAACACCGGUGGCGAAGGCGGUUCUCUGGGCCUUACCUGACGCUGAGGAGCGAAAGCGUGGGGAGCGAACAGG